rnacentral:misc_RNA from 1 species
AGGGAGACAAAACUGAUCGUGAUGUCUGAAUACUUUAUUUUCAGGCCAUGAUCCUGUCACUCUAGGUCGAUCGGUACCUCAACUGUGGAAGCGGAAUGGAGACAUGUCUGCCCAAACAGGUUCAGUUCCUAAACUUUGUCUAGGUCACACCCCAACGAUUUUUGUUGAGGACAUGUUAAAACCUGAAAGAUGAAACGGUGGCGAUACUGAAUCAUCAAUCAGGUCAGACACAACUUUGACACGAUCGCGAGGUCGAACUCCUGGGCCAUUAGCUCAGGUGGUUAGAGCGCACCCCUGAUAAGGGUGAGGUCCCUGGUUCAAGUCCAGGAUGGCCCAUUCGUGUUUGGGGGUUUAGCUCAGUUGGUAGAGCGCCUGCUUUGNNNNNNNNAUGUCAGCGGUUCGAGUCCGCUAACCUCCAUUCCAAACUGAGGAGCGCCCUCACGGAACCAAAGGAGAGAUUUCUUUGGUGUGAUCUUGACGUCUUGGUGACGAUUCCAGCCUACUUUCAUUCCCUGAGUGGUUGAAAGCAUGCUGGAUUCCUUGUCCGCAAGGAUAGGCGUUCAGCAAGAACCUUGACAACUGCAUAGGAAAAGUCUGGAAAAGAAAGCAUCUCAUAGAUGCUGACUUUCCAGUUCUCUCUGUUCGCGGCCUCGGCUGCGGCAUUUUGGCGACAGCCAAAAGGAGAUUCAGGUGCAAGCCUGAAUCUGUGAGAAGGACAGGGAAGCCAGUGAUUCUUGAGUCAGAGCCGAGUACAGCUCGUGUCUUCUGCCUGGCAUGGCCACAAGCCGCCAGUCAGGAGUUUGAUUCUGAUUGUCCAGGAUCUCUUGAUUGAGAGCUUAGACACCGGAAGAAUAGCCUUCAACAAGCUAAACGCGAGUUGUGAUUAU